ACCAAAGCAUUUAGAGCAAAUCUGACAUGGGUUAAAUUGUUUAUCAGGUCAAGAUCUAUCUGCCCUGAAAUUUUCAGAUGAAUUGGACAACCCAUUGUUGGGUUGCUGCCCCUGAAUUGGUAAUUUUAAGGAAAUUUUGCAGUUUUUGGUCAUUUUCUUGAAUAUUAUUAUAGAUAAAGAUAAACUGUAAACAGCAAAAAUGAUCAGCAAAGUAAGAUCUACA
rnacentral:lncRNA from 1 species